rnacentral:tRNA from 1 species
AGUUUAAUAGUUUAAAUAAAACAAUAAAUUGCAAAUUUAAAAAUAUAAUUAAAAGUUAAUUAAACUU